CCUACGGGAGGCAGCAGUGGGGAAUAUUGCACAAUGGGGGAAACCCUGAUGCAGCGACGCCGCGUGAGUGAAGAAGUAUCUCGGUACGUAAAGCUCUAUCAGCAGGGAAGAUAAUGACGGUACCUGACCAAGAAGCCCCGGCUAACUACGUGCCAGCAGCCGCGGUAAUACGUAGGGGGCAAGCGUUAUCCGGAUUUACUGGGCGUAAAGGGAGCGUAGGCGGCCUGCCAAGUCUGAUGUGAAAUACCGGGGCUCAACCCCGGGGCUGCAUUGGAAACUGGCAGGCUGGAGUGCCGGAGAGGCAGGCGGAAUUCCUAGUGUAGCGGUGAAAUGCGUAGAUAUUAGGAGGAACACCAGUGGCGAAGGCGGCCUGCUGGACGGUGACUGACGCUGAGGCUCGAAAGCGUGGGGAGCAAACAGGAUUAGAUACCCCAGUAGUC
rnacentral:rRNA from 1 species